rnacentral:tRNA from 1 species
AGGGAUGUAACUCAAUUUGGUAGAGUAUUGGUCUCCAAAACCGAAAGUUGGGGGUUCAAAUCCCUCCAUCCCUGCCA